AAUGUCAAACGGAAGGCGGAGAAUGAAAUAUUGAAAUUAUGUACAAUAAAGAGUAUAUUGUGUAGAUUUUCCGGGUGUCAUUCAUCUCAAUGAUAAUCUGAUAGUUUAUACAAUUAUUAUCGAAUUGGGCUGAAUGCUGAAACACGAGAAGACUUUCGUCUCUUGUAAUUAGUUGAAUAACAAUGUUUCCAAAGUCGAUGCAACUGUAAUUUUCACACAUUGAAAUUCAUUCAUUUCCAUACUCGUUUAGAGCAAGGGAAAACGCGAAGCGAAGCGAAGCAACGUCCCUCGAGACUCGAGACGCCAAACUUUGGCGGCCAAAGGUUUUCAAUGGUAGUGUACUUACAGUCAGUACAGUGUACAACUGCAGCAAGUGUGCAACUGAUCAAUGCUUCUGUAAAAUUACCCUGAGUAAUAAGUCUCAGUUCCUUGAUUAUAUGAGUGUUUAUAAAUGAGAUCGACUUUGAAAGUACUGAAGAAAGCUUUGAAAACCAUUGAUCAAAUUUGCAGACACGGAAUUAAUUUUUGUACAUAACCUCGUGUGCUCGUAUGCAUGAUACCACGGUCUCAAACGCCAUCGAGCCCGACGAGUCUUUCUGUAAAUCAACGAUUCUGCGUAAAACUAGAGAUAUAAAACGAGGACUGAAGAUAAUUGAUAACGAAUUUUAUCUCUACUCGCUUCGAUCUCGAAGACGAUAAAAGAUAGAUAGACAAGCAUUUUAACUCGUGCAUCGAACGUCGCACCCAGCGAUAAGCGAUAACUAUAAUAACAAAAACAUGUUCAAGUUCGUGUUAACCCUGGGCAUCGGAAUUUAUGCUGGUAUAUACAUAAGCCAAAAUUAUGAGGUACCUCGCGUCGACGAGCCUGGCAAGAUAAUAGAACGAAUAAAGGAAUUCGCAGAGGAAUAUAAGAAAAAGUAACCGAUGACGACGAUUCACGUACCAAUACUAUUACACGCUUACCGAAUAUAUUUCAAUGCAAUUUAUUGUACAUAUCUGUAUAUAAACAUGUGACGUAAUCUUUUUUUAAAUUUGAUUUUAAUAAAACAUCUUGUGUAACGUG